CUGUGACAUCAUAGCAAAUAUGGAGGGUUCGAUUAUACUUGCGAUUUUGAACGCUGGCGGAUGCUCAUUAUCAAUGCUGAACCACACUUUGUGACUUCGUCUGGUGGGCGAGUGUGGCGGAACGGGUGAGUAGUCAGUAUCGGAAACGUGCCUAGUGAAGCGGGGAUAACUACGCGAAAGUAGCUUGACACUCUAAGCCAUUGCCCCCCGCAGUGCGCCGUGACCUUAUUUCAAAAUUUAUUAGGAGUGGCCGACAUUUGAUUAGGCUAGUUGGUGGGGUAAUGCCCACCAAGGGCGACGAUCCGUAGUUUAAUUAGAGAGGACUUUGAUCAGUCACAUCAGGACUGAGACACGGCCCAGACUUUACGGGAGGCACAGGGGGAAUUUCGGACAAUGGGGAAACCCUGAUCCGCUGCUCAUCCAUGUGCGAUGAAGGACCGUUCGUAAAGCACUUUUGGCAGGAAAGAAACGGCACGGAUAAUACCUCGUGCAACUGACGGUACCUAUAAGAAUACACCGGCUAAUCAGAUGCCACAGCCGCGGCAAUACGUAGGCGCAAGCGUUAAUCGGAAUUACUGGGCGAAGCGUGCGUGCAGGCGGUUCGGAAAAAGAAAGAUGUGAAAUCCCAGAGCUUUAACUUGGAACUGUAUUUUAACUACCGAGUCGAGGUGUCGAGGGAGGUAAUCUCAUGCAGUUAUGAAAUGGCAGAUAUGCGGAGGAACACCGAUGGCGGAAGAGUCCAGAGACACCGACCAGUCCUGAAAGCGUGGGGAGCAAACAGGAUUGAGGAUACCCCCAGAAACCAACGUGUUCCCUAAACGAUGUCAACUAGCUGCUGGGGCCUUCGGCCCAGAAGGCAGCUAACGCGUGAAGCGGACCGCCUGGGGGAGGAUGGUCAAAGAUUAAAACCUCAAAGGAAUUGACGGGGACUGUACAAGUGGGUGGAUGAUGUGGAUUAAUUCGAUGCAACGCGAAAACCACUCUACCUUUGACAUGUUCGAAUCCUGAAGAGAUCGGGGAGUGCUUCGCAAGAGAACCGGGAACAUUAUAGGUGCUGGUGAAGUGGCUGUCGUCAGUCGUGUCGUGAGAUGUUGUAGUUAAGUCCUGCAACGAGCGCAACCUCUUUGCAUCAUUAGGUUGUCACGAAAGUAAGCACUUAAUGAUCGUAGCCAGACAAACCGGAGGAAGGUAGGGAUGUUGACGCCAAGUCCUCAUGGCCCCAGGGCAGGGCUUCACUACUGUCACGCACAAUGGUCGGGGACAGCAGAGGGUCGCCAACCCGAGGGGGAGCCAAUCCCAGAAACCCGAUCGUAGUCCACGUGACCCAGUCUCAACUGGACUGCGUGGUGAAGUCGGAAUCUUCAGUAAUCGGUGAUCAGCAUGUCGCGGUGCAUCACGUGUUCCCGGCUCCGGUACGACACCGCUCCGUCACACCACGGGAGUGGUUUACCGAAGUAGUUAAUGCAACCGUAAGGAGGGCGAUUACCACGGUAGAUUCAUGACUGGGGUGAAGUCGUACUGUAAGGU
rnacentral:rRNA from 1 species